AAGGGUAUAGCUCAGUGGUAGAGUGCAUGUUUAGCAUGCGUGAAGUCCUGGGUUCAAGCUCUAGUACCUCCA
rnacentral:tRNA from 1 species